GUUUUACCUGUCUUGAAUUCAUGGAGCAUUUUCAAAUGGUGCCAUCCCGGCAGGUGUGACCGCGCUUUUGCGGAGCCUCGGUGCUGUUUUACCUGCUUGAGUCUGUCAGAAACCCAUUUGUAUGCGCCCGGCUAAUGUGCUAGAAAUAAAAGCCCCAAACUGUCAAGUAAACUGCACCUGUACGAAGCAGUUAAAUGGUUCCAUCUGCUAUUAUCCCGGGAGAUCAAAGGCCAUCCCCGGGAGGGGUGCCCAAGGACCAAAGCAAAGGGUAGAGCGCCUUGUCUUGGAGUUUAAAAAGAAGAGGACAACGAAGAGGAGAGCGGUGAGGGGGGUGAAAACCGGGGAGAAAAAGAUCCUGAGGCUCGGGCCGGGCUGGACUACCUGAAGGAGCUUUUGUCUGAUCCAGGCGCGCUGGGAGCACAUUCUUUCACAUUAAGAACCGCAGGGGAAGACAUUCAUUCACUCCCCUUUUUUUGGUGACGUAGCUGGGGCAUUCAUGUGUUUUUAACCUUGAAUAAUUUUUGUCUCUAAGCUCCAAACAAGUUUUAUCCUGUCCACAGGUCAGUUUUGUUACAGAGGCCAAUUAGCAGUGCUACCUUCGCCUGCGGCAAAAAGCCAAGUAAUGGCGGGGCAAGCCCUCCGGAGAGGUGAUGAAUAACUCUGGAGAGCUGUAAUUUGAAAGGGGGGCCUUUGAAGCAUUUACCUUACAUGGGACGCUAUUGUCACUGCAGGGUGUUUGAUCUUAAAAUAAUUUACUUAAUGAUCUCACCAUGGGAGCAAUUGGCAGAGCAAGAUUAGGCUGUAAGGCCUAAUGGACAUGGGAAAAGUUAAAAUUGCUCGGAGAAAGAUAUCAAGACUGCUGGGAGAAAUAUCAAAAAUCUCAGAUAUGCAGAUAACACCACCCUUAGGGCAGAAAUUGAAGAAGAACUAAAGAGCCUCUUGAUGAAAGUGAAAGAGGAGAGUGAAAAAGUUGGCUUAAAGCUCAACAUUCAGAAAACAAAGAUUAUGGCAUCUGGUCCCAUCACUUCAUGGCAAAUAGAUGGAGAAACAGUGGAAACAGUGGCAGACUAUUUUUUGGGCUCCUAAAUCACUGCAGAUGG
ensembl:lncRNA